GUUUUCUUUAAAUUUCAUUCCCUUUCCAAACACUUUUUAAUAUCAGGCAACUACCAAGUUUUAUAAAAAAAAUUUCGUUUCCUUUGGAAUCCCAAAGAGGGCUUUUCCCCCCCUUCAAAAAACCAAAAACAAACUCUUUCUUUUUGGGUAUCUAUGUUGUUUGCAAGCCAAAAGAAAAAUUCUGACUUGAAUUAUUAACCAUUUUUGUUCAAUGAUGAUCCUUCCGCAGGUUCACCUACGGAAA
rnacentral:misc_RNA from 1 species